AUGGCCAGGGGAAAACAAAUUAGAAUCAGAGUUAUUUUGGAAUGCAUCAUUUGUGUUCGAAAAGGUGUCAAUGAGGAAUCAUCGGGCACUUCAAGUUAUAGUACCCAAAAGAUCACCAAAUUAAACCCAAACGUUCAGAAUUAA
rnacentral:rRNA from 1 species